UACGAAGGGGGCUAGCGUUGUUCGGAAUUACUGGGCGUAAAGCGUGCGCAGGCGGCUAUCCAAGUCAGUGGUGAAAGCCCGGAGCUCAACUCCGGAAUUGCCAUUGAAAUUGUUUAGCUUGAGUACGAGAGAGGUGAGUGGAAUUCCCAGUGUAGAGGUGAAAUGCGCAGAUAUCAGGAAGAACACCCGUGGCUAAGGCGGCUCUCUAGUACGGUACUGACGCUGAGACGCGAAAGCGUGGGAGCGAACAGG
rnacentral:rRNA from 1 species